AGAGUUUGAUCCUGGCUCAGGACGAACGCUGGCGGCGUGCUUCACACAUGCAAGUCGAACGGAAAGGCUCCUUCGGGAGUGCUCGAGUGGCGAACGGGUGAGUAACACGUGGGUAACCUGCCCCCAUCUCUGGGAUAACUGCUGGAAACGGUGGCUAAUACCGGAUACUACUGCUGGUCGCAUGGCCUGGUGGUGGAAAGUUUUUCGGCUGAGGAUGGGCUCGCGGCCUAUCAGCUUGUUGGUGGGGUGAUGGCCUACCAAGGCGACGACGGGUAGCCGGCCUGAGAGGGCGACCGGCCACACUGGGACUGAGACACGGCCCAGACUCCUACGGGAGGCAGCAGUGGGGAAUAUUGCACAAUGGGCGAAAGCCUGAUGCAGCGACGCCGCGUGAGGGAUGACGGCCUUCGGGUUGUAAACCUCUUUCAGCAGGGACGAAGGGUGACUGACGGUACCUGCAGAAGAAGCGCCGGCCAACUACGUGCCAGCAGCCGCGGUAAUAC
rnacentral:rRNA from 1 species